UCCGGCAAUGCUUUCUUGCCCGAUCAGCAGCCACACGAAUGGGGAAGGCAAAACAGAUUGGUAAUCUCCUAGGGGUGUUUUAGGUGGUUCAAUCGAUUGAAUCGGAUGGAGAGGAGGGCGAAGCGAGGCGACUGUGAUCCUCGGACGGGAAGGAAGAGACGAAGCAGCGGGGCUGCUCGUCUUCUGUCUUGGAAGUACUUGCGAAGGGAAAGAGGUCCGAAGGGGUCUGGGAGGCGUCGCGAACAGCAGCAGCGACGAUGACCGGUGUUCGGUGGGUUUGCUUGUCUUCUGUCUUGGAAGUUGUUGCGAAGGCGAAAGAGCUCCGAAGGGUACUGGGAGGCGUCUCGAGCAGCAGCAGCGACGAUGACCGGUGUUCGGUGGGUUUGCUCGACGGGAGGGGAAGAUAUGGGUGCGACGGGGAAGAUGAUUCUGCAACAACAGGGAAGAGGGAAGGAUAGAAGCAUUAACGAACAGGGGGUCUUGGCUGUGGUCUUUGAUGGACGAAUUAACGAAGCAAUGCAGGUAAUGUAGAAGAGGAUGAGUGUGAAGGGGGUUGUCUCCAGUGACAAACGGAAACUUUGGUUUGAGUGUAGUCAUGUCAAUUGUGUAUAACACAUCUCCUUUUGUGUGAAAUUUUGGAUGUGUUAGAAUUUGUAGCUGGCAUUAUGUUUAAUAUAUGUAUUUUGUGUGAAAAUUGCAAAUAUAGAAUUUCUUCAUGUAUUAUGUGUAUGCAUUGAUUUAAUUUGUAUUAUGUAUUUGUUUUAAUA